rnacentral:rRNA from 1 species
GUUUAUCUGUUUAACUAUGGCAGUAGAAAGUGAUUUAAAAUCAACCGCAUAAAUAGAUUGUAUACUUGUUUAAGCAUCAUUUGGGCUUUAUGAUUAGCGGUUAGUAUUUUAUUUAAGCGUAAGCUUUAUUAAGGAUUUUAUAUUUGAGAGGGGAUUAGGCACAGUGCCAGCAUCUGCGGUUA